rnacentral:rRNA from 1 species
UACGAAGGGUGCAAGCGUUAAUCGGAAUUACUGGGCGUAAAGCGUGCGCAGGCGGUUGUGUAAGUCAGAUGUGAAAUCCCCGGGCUCAACCUGGGAAUUGCAUUUGAGACUGCACGGCUAGAGUGUGUCAGAGGGGGGUAGAACUCCACGUGUAGCAGUGAAAUGCGUAGAGAUGUGGAGGAAUACCGAUGGCGAGGGCAGCCCCCUGGGAUAACACUGACGCUGAAGCACGAAAGCGUGGGGAGCAAACAGG